rnacentral:rRNA from 1 species
CCCUUAGAGUUUGAUCCUGGCUCAGAUUGAACGCUGGCGGAAUGCUUUACACAUGCAAGUCGAACGGCAGCACGGGGGCAACCCUGGUGGCGAGUGGCGAACGGGUGAGUAAUACAUCGGAACGUGCCCAGUCGUGGGGGAUAACGUAGCGAAAGCUACGCUAAUACCGCAUACGAACUCUGGUUGAAAGCGGGGGAUCGCAAGACCUCGCGCGAUUGGAGCGGCCGAUGGCAGAUUAGGUAGUUGGUGGGGUAAAGGCUCACCAAGCCGACGAUCUGUAGCUGGUCUGAGAGGACGACCAGCCACACUGGGACUGAGACACGGCCCAGACUCCUACGGGAGGCAGCAGUGGGGAAUUUUGGACAAUGGGCGCAAGCCUGAUCCAGCCAUUCCGCGUGCAGGAUGAAGGCCCUCGGGUUGUAAACUGCUUUUGUACGGAACGAAAAGGCCUUCUCUAAUACAGAGGGCUCAUGACGGUACCGUAAGAAUAAGCACCGGCUAACUACGUGCCAGCAGCCGCGGUAAUACGUAGGGUGCAAGCGUUAAUCGGAAUUACUGGGCGUAAAGCGUGCGCAGGCGGUUAUGUAAGACAGGUGUGAAAUCCCCGGGCUUAACCUGGGAACUGCAUUUGUGACUGCAUAGCUAGAGUACGGUAGAGGAGGAUGGAAUUCCGCGUGUAGCAGUGAAAUGCGUAGAUAUGCGGAGGAACACCGAUGGCGAAGGCAAUCCCCUGGACCUGUACUGACGCUCAUGCACGAAGGCGUGGGGAGCAAACAGGAUUAGAUACCCUGGUAGUCCACGCCCUAAACGAUGUCAACUGGUUGUUGGGUCUUCACUGACUCAGUAACGAAGCUAACGCGUGAAGUUGACCGCCUGGGGAGUACGGCCGCAAGUUGAAACUC